GACGAACGCUGGCGGCGUGCCUAACACAUGCAAGUCGAACGGAGAUACGAUUUCGGUUGUAUCUUAGUGGCGAACGGGUGAGUAACGCGUGAGCAACCUGACUCUUAGAGGGGGAUAACACCUGGAAACAAGUGCUAAUACCGCAUAAGACCACGACCCGACAUCGGGAUGAGGUCAAAGGAGCAAUCCGCUAAGAGAGGGGCUCGCGUCCCAUUAGAUAGAUGGCGGGGUAACGGCCCACCAUGUCAGCGAUGGGUAGCCGAGCUGAGAGGCUGAUCGGCCACACUGGAACUGAGACACGGUCCAGACUCCUACGGGUGGCAG
rnacentral:rRNA from 1 species